rnacentral:rRNA from 1 species
UUACCGGCUUGACAUGACAGAGAUCUUCGCACAGGUGCUGCAUGGCUGUCGUCAGCUCGUGUCGUGAGAUGUUCGGUUAAGUCCGUCAACGAGCGCAACCCUGUCUUAGUUGCCAUCCUUGGGACUCUAAGAGACAAUCCCGCUCGGGGAGGGAGGUGGGGAUGAUGUCAAGUCAGUAUGGCCCUUACGCCGGGCUGCACACGUGCUACAAUGCAGUACAUAGGGCACCGCGAGGGAUGCAAUCCCUAACUGGCCCAGUUCGGAUUGGAGUCUGCAACUCGACUCCAUGAAGUUGGAAUCGCUAGUAAUGGCGAUCAGCAUGCGCCGUGAAUACGUUCCCGGGGAUUGUACACACCGCCCGUCACAUCAUGAAAGCCGGUUGCCGAA